rnacentral:rRNA from 1 species
GACGAACGCUGGCGGCGUGCCUAAUACAUGCAAGUCGAGCGCAGGAAGCCGUCUGAACCCUUCGGGGGGACGACGGUGGAAUGAGCGGCGGACGGGUGAGUAACACGUAAAGAACCUGCCCAUAGGUCUGGGAUAACCACGAGAAAUCGGGGCUAAUACCGGAUGUGUCAUCGGACCGCAUGGUCCGCUGAUGAAAGGCGCUUCGGCGUCGCCCAUGGAUGGCUUUGCGGUGCAUUAGCUAGUUGGUGGGGUAACGGCCCACCAAGGCGACGAUGCAUAGCCGACCUGAGAGGGUGAUCGGCCACACUGGGACUGAGACACGGCCCAGACUCCUACGGGAGGCAGCAGUAGGGAAUCUUCCACAAUGGACGAAAGUCUGAUGGAGCAACGCCGCGUGAACGAUGAAGGCUUUCGGGUCGUAAAGUUCUGUUGUAAGGGAAGAACAAGUGCCGCAGGCAAUGGCGGCACCUUGACGGUACCUUGCGAGAAAGCCACGGCUAACUACGUGCCAGCAGCCGCGGUAAU